GGAAGCGUGGCAGAGCGGCCGAAUGCACUCGCCUUGAAAGCGAGCGUCCGAAAGGACCGGGGGUUCGAAUCCCCCCGCUUCCG
rnacentral:tRNA from 1 species